AGGGCUGUAGUUUAAACAGAACAGUUAAUUUGCACUUAACCAGGAUUUCAAUCUGCCCU
rnacentral:tRNA from 1 species